UACGGAGGGGGCCAGCGUUGUUCGGAAUUAUUGGGCGUAAAGGGCGCGUAGGUGGCCAUGCAAGUCGGAGGUGAAAUCCCUCGGCUCAACCGAGGAACUGCCUCCGAUACUGCACGGCUUGAGUCCCGGAGAGGGUGGUGGAAUUCCCAGUGUAGCGGUGAAAUGCGUAGAUAUUGGGAGGAACACCGGUGGCGAAGGCGGCCACCUGGACGGGUACUGACGCUGAUGCGCGAAAGCGUGGGGAGCAAACAGGAUUAGAUACCCUGGUAGUCCACGCCGUAAACGAUGGGUACUUGGUGUUGCGGGUAUCGACCCCCGCAGUGCCGAAGCUAACGCAUUAAGUACCCCGCCUGGGGAGUACGGUCGCAAGGCUGAA
rnacentral:rRNA from 1 species